CCUACGGGAGGCAGCAGUCUAGAAAUUUGGGCAAUGGGCGAAAGCCUGACCCAGCGACGCUGUGUGGAGGAUGGAGCCCUUCGGGGUGUAAACUCCUGUCAGUAGGGACGAUGCCCUUUUAGGGUGACGGUACCUAAAGAGGAAGUCACGGCUAACUACGUGCCAGCAGCCGCGGUAAAACGUAGGUGGCGAGCGUUGCCCGGAUUCACUGGGCGUAAAGGGUGUGUAGGCGGACUGGAAAGUCCAAGGUGAAAGCCCUCGGCUCAACUGAGGAAUUGCCUUGGAUACUUCCAGCCUAGAGGACGGGAGAGGGGAGUGGAACUCCCGGUGUAGCGGUAGAAUGCGUGGAUAUCGGGAGGAACGCCAAUAGCGAAGGCAGCUCCCUGGAACGUUCCUGACGCUGAAACACGAAAGCUGGGGGAGCAAACAGGAUUAGAUACCCGGGUAGU
rnacentral:rRNA from 1 species